ACUUCGAGUACCCAGGCUGGGGACGAUGCUGGUGUGGGGGAAUUGUCACCUCUGAAGAAACAAUGUUUCCAUUAAGCAGUGCUAGGCUUGCCCUGAAGAGUCCAGGGUUGUGAGAGAUGACAAUUUGAGGGGCUGCCCCUCUGGAGUGGGAGGGUGGGAGAGCUCACAGCAGAAGAGGCACCCACGCAGGACGGAAAGCAUGGAGACCCUCAGGUUAUACACUUACCCAGGGCCCUCAACAGCAUGGCUCCUUCAGCCUGCACCCUCCUGCCCUGCACUGUGAACCGGUGAUGCAUUUUAGCACAGAGCCUUCCCUAGGCCUGCGGCUGGAAAGUCCCUGCACUGGAUCGGACGGUAUCCCCUCAAAAUUCAUGCCCACCCAAACCCUCAGAAUGUGACCUUUGCAAACACGGUCUUUGCAGAUGUAAUUAGCUGAGGACCUCAAGAUGGAAUGAUUUCCAGUGGGCCGUAAAUCAAAUGACAAGUGUCCUUAUCAGAAGAGGAGAACAGAGAGAAGCAGGCCACGGAGACAUGGAGACAGAGAUUCGAGUGGCAUGGCCAUAAGACAAGGAGUGGCAAGGACCGUGGCCAGCACCGGAGGCGGGAGGGGCCUGGAGCCGACUCUCCCUCGUGGCCCUCAGGGGGACCCACCCCGCCGGCCUCCUCAGUUCAGACACCCGGCCUCCAGAGCCGUAAGACGCUUCUGCUGUGUUAAGCCCUGCUGUGCAGGGGUGCAUUUCACUUUUAAACCCUCCCAACAAGCCUGGAGCCCUCUCCUGCAGUGGAGGUAACUGAGGCUGAGAGCACAGAAGGGGCUUGCCUGGGCCAUGCACAGCGACCUGCCGUGCUAGAGCCGCUGGGUGCACGGCUCCCACCAGGAGCACCUGGAGGCCUCCAGCAGAGCUGCCCGCCCUGCCCUUAGGACACUGACAGCCAGGACGUGCCCUGGACGCUGCCAUCCUCGUCGCACAGAGCGGGGCUCUCGGGGGUCCUGCCUGCCCUAGACCCGGGAAGGUAUGGAGGAGAGAGAGAGAUCCAGCUCUCCCACCCCCGGCUCUGCAGCCCUGGGAAAUCAGCUCAUCUUUGCAGCCUCAGUCUCCCCAUCUGUGAAAGGGGCUAGCAGUUCUCUCAGAGCAGGUCGCUAUGAGGGAGCCAUCACCGAUGUUGCUGUCCAGCCAGGCACCUUUGGAGGCUCACAGAGCCCACCCACUGCCAUGAAAAUUGCCACAGGCAGACACCCUUGCAAGACAGCAGGGUACCGGGUUGGGGGCGGUGAGCCUCACAGGGUCUCCUGGCCCCACAGCUCUGUCCAGAGUGAAGGUCGUUGCCCAGACAGCCUGCAGGAGGGCUUUGGCUGGCCUGGCAUCCACUGAGCACUCAGGCCCAUGGGAUUACUCUGAGCCUGGGCUGCCCUGUCCCUGAGACCCAGAGGGACACACAGAGGACACAGGUGUUCAAGUGCACCCUGGCCGCCGACCCGUGUGCUCGCCCCGUGUCCUCUGCUGCGUGGCACGCAUCCCUCACCGCUGUUGUCAAACACGCAGCGUCAGGACAGAAACUGUCGAAUUGCGGGCUGUUGGCGCCUGCCAGCUCUAGCUGCCAGCCUAGCCUAAUUCCUUAAUUUGUACUAAUUCUCGUGCCAUUAACACAUCCUUCCUAAAAUAACAUUGCCUAGAAAACG